CCUACGGGAGGCAGCAGUGAGGAAUAUUGGUCAAUGGACGAGAGUCUGAACCAGCCAAGUAGCGUGAAGGAUGACUGCCCUAUGGGUUGUAAACUUCUUUUAUAUGGGAAUAAAAUGUUUCACGUGUGGGAUUUUGUAUGUACCAUAUGAAUAAGGAUCGGCUAACUCCGUGCCAGCAGCCGCGGUAAUACGGAGGAUCCGAGCGUUAUCCGGAUUUAUUGGGUUUAAAGGGAGCGUAAGUGGAUGGUUAAGUCAGUUGUGAAAGUUUGGGGCUCAAACGUAAAAUUGCAGUUGAAACUGGCAGUCUUGAGGACAGUAGAGGUGGGCGGAAUGCGUGGUGGAGCGGUGAAAUGCUUAGAUAGCACGAAGAACUCCGAUUGCGAAGACAGUUCACUGGACUGCAACUGACACUGAGGCUCGAAAGUGUGGGUAUCGAACAGGAUUAGAUACCCUAGUAGUC
rnacentral:rRNA from 1 species